rnacentral:rRNA from 1 species
GAUGAACGCUAGCGGCAGGCUUAAUACAUGCAAGUCGUGGGGCAGCAUGAGUAGCAAUACUUGAUGGCGACCGGCAAACGGGUGCGGAACACGUACGCAACCUUCCUUCAGGCGGGGAAUAGCCCAGGGAAAUUUGGAUUAAUACCCCAUAAUAUUUUGAGAUGGCAUCAUCUUAUUAUUAAAGCUUCGGCACCUGAUGAUGGGCGUGCGGCUGAUUAGGUAGUUGGCGGGGUAACGGCCCACCAAGCCUACGAUCAGUAGCUGAUGUGAGAGCAUGAUCAGCCACACGGGCACUGAGACACGGGCCCGACUCCUACGGGAGGCAGCAGUAAGGAAUAUUGGUCAAUGGACGAAAGUCUGAACCAGCCAUGCCGCGUGGAGGAUGAAGGUCCUCUGGAUUGUAAACUUCUUUUAUCUGGGACGAAAAAAGGGUUUUCUAACUCGUCUGACGGUACCAGAUGAAUAAGCACCGGCUAACUCCGUGCCAGCCGCCGCCGCAAUAC